CCUACGGGGGGCAGCAGUGGGGAAUAUUGGACAAUGGGGGGAACCCUGAUCCAGCCAUGCCGCGUGUGUGAAGAAGGCCCUCGGGUUGUAAAGCACUUUCAGUGAGGAAGAACGCCUGGUGGUUAAUACCCAUCAGGAAAGACAUCACUCACAGAAGAAGCACCGGCUAACUCCGUGCCAGCAGCCGCGGUAAUACGGAGGGUGCGAGCGUUAAUCGGAAUUACUGGGCGUAAAGCGCGCGUAGGUGGCUUGAUAAGCCGGUUGUGAAAGCCCCGGGCUCAACCUGGGAACGGCAUCCGGAACUGUCAAGCUAGAGUGCAGAAGAGGAGGGUAGAAUUCCCGGUGUAGCGGUGAAAUGCGUAGAGAUCGGGAGGAAUACCAGUGGCGAAGGCGGCCUUCUGGACUGACACUGACACUGAGGUGCGAAAGCGUGGGUAGCAAACAGGAUUAGAUACCCGUGUAGUC
rnacentral:rRNA from 1 species